UACGAAGGGGGCUAGCGUUGCUCGGAAUCACUGGGCGUAAAGGGUGCGUAGGCGGGUCUUUAAGUCAGGGGUGAAAUCCUGGAGCUCAACUCCAGAACUGCCUUUGAUACUGAGGAUCUUGAGUUCGGGAGAGGUGAGUGGAACUGCGAGUGUAGAGGUGAAAUUCGUAGAUAUUCGCAAGAACACCAGUGGCUGAAGGCGAGCUCGCCUUGGCCCAGCAGUACCC
rnacentral:rRNA from 1 species